rnacentral:rRNA from 1 species
AGAGUUUGAUCCUGGCUCAGGAUGAACGCUGGCGGCGUGCUUAACACAUGCAAGUCGAACGAAGCACUUAAUAAGAUUUCUUCGGAUUGAUUAUUUUGUGACUGAGCGGCGGACGGGUGAGUAACGCGUGGGUAACCUGCCUCAUACAGGGGGAUAACAGUUAGAAAUGACUGCUAAUACCGCAUAAGACCACGGUACCGCAUGGUACAGUGGUAAAAACUCCGGUGGUAUGAGAUGGACCCGCGUCUGAUUAGGUAGUUGGUGGGGUAACGGCCUACCAAGCCGACGAUCAGUAGCCGACCUGAGAGGGUGACCGGCCACAUUGGGACUGAGACACGGCCCAGACUCCUACGGGAGGCAGCAGUGGGGAAUAUUGCACAAUGGAGGAAACUCUGAUGCAGCGACGCCGCGUGAAGGAUGAAGUAUUUCGGUAUGUAAACUUCUAUCAGCAGGGAAGAAAAUGACGGUACCUGACUAAGAAGCCCCGGCUAACUACGUGCCAGCAGCCGCGGUAAUACGUAGGGGGCAAGCGUUAUCCGGAUUUACUGGGUGUGAAGGGAGCGUAGACGGCACGGCAAGCCAGAUGUGAAAGCCCGGGGCUCAACCCCGGGACUGCAUUUGGAACUGCUGAGCUAGAGUGUCGGAGAGGCAAGUGGAAUUCCUAGUGUAGCGGUGAAAUGCGUAGAUAUUAGGAGGAACACCAGUGGCGAAGGCGAUUUGCUGGGCUGUAACUGACGCUGAGGUACGAAAGCGUGGGUAGCAAAUAGGAUUAGAUACCCUAGUAGUCCACGCUGUAAACGAUGAGCACUAAGUGUCGGGUUACCGGUGCUGAAGUUAACACAUUAAGUGCUCCGCCUGAGUAGUACGGUCGCAAGACUGAAACUCAAAGGAAUUGACGGGCACCCGCACAAGCGGUGGAGCAUGUUGUUUAAUUCGAAAAUACGCGAAGAACCUUACCUAGGCUUGACAUCCCUGGCAAAGCUAUAGAAAUAUAGUGGAGGUUAUCCAGGUGACAGGUGGUGCAUGGUUGUCGUCAGCUCGUGUCGUGAGAUGUUCAGUUAAGUCUGCUAACGAGCGCAACCCUUGUCGAUAGUUGCUAACAUUUAGUUGAGAACUCUAUCGAGACUGCCGGUAUUAAACCGGAGGAAGGUGGGGAUGACGUCAAAUCAUCAUGCCCCUUACGUCUAGGGCAACAGGCGUGCUACAAUGGCUGGUACAAUGAGUCGCAAAACCGCGAGGUGGAGCUAAUCUCCAAAGCCAGUCUCAGUUCGGAUUGAAGUCUGCAACUCGACUUCAUGAAGCUGAAAUCGCUAGUAAUCCCGGAUCAGAAUGCCGGGGUGAAUACGUUCUCGGGUGUUGUACUCACCGCCCGUCA